rnacentral:rRNA from 1 species
GUAUUCGUGGAAUCGUAGAGAGAGAAGAUGCACCAGGGGGAUGCCCUGGUCUUCUAGGAUGGGGACGUACACCACCACGAAAGGCAAAGAUCGAGCAAACCGCGAUAGGUCUUUGAUUUCCCGGGAGCGUAAGCUCCGAUGAGUGAUACCGGGGGAAGUGAAACAUCUCAGUACCCCGAGGAAGACUGAUCAACCGAGACUCUGGAAGUAGAUGCGAUCGAACCCGGACCAAACCUCCCUUUUUCUUCCCUUUCACGAGACGCGGAUCUUUAACCGUGUUGGAACACCGGGCCACAGAAGGUGAAAGCCCUGUCAAGAGACCCGUCGAGCGAAAAAGAAAAGGAUAGAGUACACCGGAUCAUACCGGUGGAAGACAGGGGGACCACCCUCUGAAGGUUGGAUACCUAGAAGAACCUAUAGCGCAGGAUGUACCGUGAGGGAAGGGUGAAAAGAACCGAUCCGGGGGUUCCCCCCGAAGACUGAGGACUUGAAAAGAACCUGAAUCCUGGUGCACAUCAAACGGUCGGAGCCUUUUCAGGUGACGGCGUACCUUUUGCAUAAUGGGUCAGCGAGUGUAGAUCGACCUGUACAACCAAGAAACGAAAGCUUCAGCCCAAAGGUGGAGGCACGAGCAAAAGCGAGUCGACAAAGGCAGUUUUUAUUGGUUUCACGUGGCAUUUUUUGGUGGCACUUUGUGUAUAGGCGGUGUACGACCCGAAGCCAGGCGAGCUUUCCAUCUCCAGGUUGAAAAAGACAGUGUGUCGAUGGAGGACCGAACCGGUGAAUGUGGCAAAAUUCUCGGAUGAGGGGUGGAAAGGAGUGAAAGGCUUACCAAGCCUGGUGAUAGCUGGUUCUCCGCGAAAUCUAUGUAGGUAGACUAGACUCAUCACCUUCUCGGAGGUAGAGCACUUGUUGGAUGACGGGAGCCCAAACCUUUACGAAGUCCAAGAAAACUCCGAAGACCGAUGAAGGAUGAGUCUCUGGACAGACUCUGGGCGCGAAGGUCCAGGGUCGAGAGGGGAAGAGCCCAGACCGUCCGUUAAGGUCCCAAAGUGUGCCCUGAGUGCGCAAGGAAGUCAGAGGACAAAGACAUUCAGGAGAUGGGCUUGGAAGCAGCCGUUCUAUGAUGAUCGCGUACCAGCGCACUGAAUGAGUCCUUCGGCGCCGACCAUACUCGGGACUGAAGGGCACCACCGAAACGACGGAGAACGAAAGUUCUGGUAGCGGAGCGUCCUGUGUUCCUUUGAAGGGGAAAGGUUAUUUUCCCUGGAGGACUCGGGAGUGAGCAUGCUGACAUGAGUAACGAGGCUCGGGGAGCCAAUCCCCGUCGCCGUAUGCGCACGGGUUCCACAGCACUGUUGAACAUCUGUGGAAGAGACGGAUCCUAAGGGUGUGGAUGACCUCCCAGCCCGAUGGAGAAUAACCUUUCUUUGAAGGACGGCCAGAUUCUGGGUUUUUUUCUACACAUUGGGAAGAGAGAACAGGAUCCAUCUGGUCCAGGAAAAGUUCAAAGGACUCGUAUCCGUACCUAAACCGACACUGGUGCGCGGGUCGAAUAGACUCAGGCGUCGAGAGACCCAUGGUUAAGGAACUCGGCAAACUAACUCCGUACGUUCGCAAGAAGGAGGGCUUCACUUCAAUCAGUGAAGUCGCAGAAAAUUGUGGCCGGGGACUGGUUAUUAAAACCACAGGUCUCUGCAAAGUCGAAGGACGAAGUAUAGGGACUGACGUGUGCCCAAUGCCCGUCGUUGUACAGGACCGGUAACUGCCGGGAAUCGAAAACCGGGCCAAUGGCUGCUGUAUCACUGACAGUACUAAGGUAGCGAAAUUCCUUGUCGCAUAAGUAGCGACCCGCAUGAAUCACGUCACCACCGGCCAGCUGUCUCAACCAUGGACUCGGUGAAAUUGAAGUCCCCGUGAAGAUGCGGGGUACUCACGGUAAGGCGAGAAGACCCCGUGGACCUUUACUCAAGCCCUGCAUUGGGCGUCGGGACUUGUGUGCGCAGACUAGGUAGGAGCGGUAUCCAUAGGUUUCGGCCUAGCGGACACGCGUCAGUGAGAGACUACCCACACACACCGGCGCUCUCACCCUGUGGACAGUGCAUGGUGGAGAGUUUGACUGGGGCGGUCGCCUCCCAAAAAGUAACGGAGGUGUAUGCAAGGUAGGCUCACCCCGGACGGCAACCGGGCGAGUGGGGAGAAUGCCCUAUGCCUGCUUGACUGUAAGAUGGGCACAUCGAGCAGAGACGAAAGUCGAUCAUACUGAACCGGAGUUUCCUUGUGGAAGGGGCUUCGCUCAACGGAUCAAAGGUACCCCGGGGAUAACAGGCUUAUACUUCCCGAGAGCUCGAAUCGACGGAAGUGUUUGGCACCUCGAUGUCGUCUCCCUGUGUCCUCGUGCUGCAGAAGGUGCGAAGGGUUCGGCUGUUCGCCGAUUAAUACAGGACGCGGAUGGGUUUAGAACGUCGUAAGACAGUUUGGUUUCUACCUACCGUGAGGGUAAAGCCUUGAUCUUUUGGAUCAAGAGGUAUAUGUGAGAAGCCCCCACUCUAGUACGAGAGGACCGAGUGGGACGGACCUCUGGUGUGUCUGUUGUCGUCCCACGGCAGCGCAGAGAAGCUACGUCCGGAGAGGAGAAGGGCUGAGCGCGUCUGAAGCCCGAAACCAGCUUUCACACGACAUAUCAACGCUGGCGGAAGACCACCGCAGGAUAGGCGAACCGUGUCCCUCGGGUACACCGAGAAGCGUGUUCGUACUAA